GAUAUUAAUAUAUAUAUAUAUAUAUUUAUCUUUAAUAUCUAUGCAUCGAACCGACAGAAACUACGAUUGUACUAUCGCGGGAAAAUAUUCCAAUCGGUCCUAUCCAUCGUCGAUGAUAUUAUCGCGAUUUUAUUCCAAUAAUUUUCGACUUCUCGCCGGCGGACACUUUAUUGUUUUCGAACGUUCUGUACGUGUUCGCGUAGUCACGUCAUAGCAUUCGUCUUUUGAAACAUGCGCCUGUGCGGUUUUGUACGCCGAUUCCGUUAGGAAAUUCCGGCAGCCGAUCGACGUUCGAUCUCGAGCGUUUUUUCUUCGUAUUCGCGUUGUAAAACCAUGUACGGAUUCUGUUCGUGCGAUUGUCGUACGAAAUAGCUCUGUAGGUAUUCUGUGCUAGUAUUAUAAUUGUACGUUUAUCGUAUUGCUGCUUUUUUCAAUCGACUUAUUUACGUGUAUAAAACUCACUUGCCGUGUACGCAGAUAAAUCCAGGAUAAAUCGUUCAAUACCGUGAUACCAAACUUCAUUUGGACUAUUAAAUACCGUUGCUGUUCAUCUGGAUGUCACUCAAGAUUGAAGUAAUUUGGACUUUGUUACAUUACUCUUAGGAGCUCUGAAGAUGGACAGUUUGCUGAAUCAGUUAUCGGCAGAUCAUUUAUGAUGUUUAUUGACUUAAAUGUAAUUAAAUCAUUAGUUGUUGCUGUUCAUCUGGAUGUCACUCAAGAUUGAAGUAAUUUGGACUUUGUUACAUUACUCUUAGGAGCUCUGAAGAUGGACAGUUUGCUGAAUCAGUUAUCAGCUGAUCAUUUAUGAUGUUUAUUGACUUAAAUGUAAUUAAAUCAUUAGUUGUUGCUGUUCAUCUGGAUGUCACUCAAGAUUGAAGUAAUUUGGACUUUGUUACAUUACUCUUAGGAGCUCUGAAGAUGGACAGUUUGCUGAAUCAGUUAUCGGCUGAUCAUUUAUGAUGUUUAUUGACUUAAAUGUAAUUAAAUCAUUAGUUGUUGCUGUUCAUCUGGAUGUCACUCAAGAUUGAAGUAAUUUGGACUUUGUUACAUUACUCUUAGGAGCUCUGAAGAUGGACAGUUUGCUGAAUCAGUUAUCGGCUGAUCAUUUAUGAUGUUUAUUGACGUAAAUGUAAUUAAAUCAUUAGUUGUUGCUGUUCAUCUGGAUGUCACUCAAGAUUGAAGUAAUUUGGACUUUGUUACAUUACUCUUAGGAGCUCUGAAGAUGGACAGUUUGCUGAAUCAGUUAUCGGCAGAUCAUUUAUGAUGUUUAUUGACUUAAAUGUAAUUAAAUCAUUAGUUGUUGCUGUUCAUCUGGAUGUCACUCAAGAUUGAAGUAAUUUGGACUUUGUUACAUUACUCUUAGGAGCUCUGAAGAUGGACAGUUUGCUGAAUCAGUUAUCGGCAGAUCAUUUAUGAUGUUUAUUGACUUAAAUGUAAUUAAAUCAUUAGUUGUUGCUGUUCAUCUGGAUGUCACUCAAGAUUGAAGUAAUUUGGACUUUGUUACAUUACUCUUAGGAGCUCUGAAGAUGGACAGUUUGCUGAAUCAGUUAUCGGCAGAUCAUUUAUGAUGUUUAUUGACUUAAAUGUAAUUAAAUCAUUAGUUGUUGCUGUUCAUCUGGAUGUCACUCAAGAUUGAAGUAAUUUGGACUUUGUUACAUUACUCUUAGGAGCUCUGAAGAUGGACAGUUUGCUGAAUCAGUUAUCGGCUGAUCAUUUAUGAUGUUUAUUGACGUAAAUGU